rnacentral:rRNA from 1 species
CGGACGGGUGAGUAACGCGUGGGUAACCUUCCUUGUACUGGGGGACAACAGUUAGAAAUGACUGCUAAUAUCGCAUAAGCGCACAGUAUCGCAUGAUACAGUGUGAAAAACUCCGGUGGUACAAGAUGGACCCGCGUCUGAUUAGCUAGUUGGUAAGGUAACGGCUUACCAAGGCGACGAUCAGUAGCCGACCUGAGAGGGUGACCGGCCACAUUGGGACUGAGACACGGCCCAA